rnacentral:tRNA from 1 species
UGGCUCAGUUGGUAGAGCAUGGUGUUUGCAACGCCAAGGUUGUGGGUUCGAUUCACAC